rnacentral:lncRNA from 1 species
UGCCUUUACCUAUUAACCCUCACAGUUCCUUGAAUUCCUAAGGCAGGUGCAAUCUCUCAGCUUCACACAAUUGCCUAUACACAACAACACAUCCACUAACAAACACGCUAGAGCACAUAAAGGGAGACCUCUGAGCACACAAAGAUUGCAGACCAGUUUGGUAAACACCAUGAAAGCAGUGGCAACCCAGAGACACAGCGACAAGAGCCCCCUACUGAUACUGCUGCUGGAUACAACUGCAUUUCUUCCACAUCCUGCUUCACAGCUCCACCAGAUACUGCAACAAAAAGCAGUAAUCUCAAACAUCAGUGGCCACUGCAGCUUCAGAAGAUCCAAGACUCAUCCGUACGCUCAUCUAUAUUUAGCUUUAAACCAGACAAGCUGUGACAACAAGAGACCUUUGCUGUGUUCACUGCUCUUCUAAUAACCCUCUUUAGCAUUAGGGAAAGUGUCCAGUCACGGUAACAAAGGCACCGCUCAGCUGUGACAGACAGAACUUCCCAGCUGCUGAUUAUUCUGGAAAUGCUUGCCAGAAAGGGCAGAAAAAAAAAAGAGCAAAGCCCUUCAACUGAGCCACAUGCAGGUCAACGGCUGUUCUAACAUGCCUGAAACAAGCAGGAGGCGACCACGCUGCUCACUAGAAGAGCCGACUGAUCCGUGUAAGAAGUAACAUUACUCAUUUGAAAACCACAUUAACAAUUUCAGUUGAGUCAUUCGAUGUACACAGUCAUAAUUGCAGGGACGACGUGCGUUGUUUGUUCUCACGUUGGAGUCUCCUCCAUAGGGCAGAGCCACCUCUCGAGGUCACAUUUCUAUUGCUGCUCAUGCCGGGGGAGAACUGAUUUCUUCUGUUAAGAAAGUGAGGGACGUGCACUGCUAUUGACAGAGUAAUACGGCAUUUUGAAUCAAGUACUGCUGCAACUGCAUUUCUAUGUAAGGUGACAGAGUGCUUCGUAGAAGUUGCUGCCCUUCCGUUAUGAAUGUUUUAUAUCAUAGGAAAGAAAAAGGGAAAAAAAAAAAGGGCAGGGAAAAGUGGAAUUGCAUCAACCAUGAGGAGCCCACAUCUCAGAAAGCCAGGAGACCCGGGGUGAGUGAGAUCUGGGGACAGUGCUUGCAAAUCUCACUGCCCACAUUUGUGUCCGCACUGAGGAGCGACAUCCAACAUCACUGUACUACAAAG